rnacentral:rRNA from 1 species
CUCCGGUGAUCCUGCCGGGGACCCGACUGCUAUCAGAGUGGGACUAAGCCAUGCGAGUCAACAUAGCAAUAUGUGGCAUACGGCUCAGUAACACGUAGUCAACAUGCCCAGGGGACGUGGAUAACCUCGGGAAACUGAGGAUAAACCGCGAUAGGUCAUCACUUCUGGAAUGGGUAAUGACUUAAAUCUAUAUGGCCCCUGGAUUGGACUGCGGCCGAUCAGGCUGUUGGUGAGGUAAUGGCCCACCAAACCUGUAACCGGUACGGGCUCUGAGAGGAGGAGCCCGGAGAUGGGCACUGAGACAAGGGCCCAGGCCCUAUGGGGCGCAGCAGGCGCGAAACCUCUGCAAUAGGCGAAAGCUUGACAGGGUUACUCUGAGUGAUUUCCGUUAAGGAGAUCUUUUGGCACCUCUAAAAAUGGUGCAGAAUAAGGGGUGGGCAAGUCUGGUGUCAGCCGCCGCGGUAAUACCAGCACCCCGAGUGGUCGGGACGUUUAUUGGGCCUAAAGCAUCCGUAGCCGGUUCUACAAGUCUUCCGUUAAAUCCACCUGCUUAACAGAUGGGCUGCGGAAGAUACUAUAGAGCUAGGAGGCGGGAGAGGCAAGCGGUACUCGAUGGGUAGGGGUAAAAUCCGUUGAUCCAUUGAAGACCACCAGUGGCGAAGGCGGCUUGCCAGAACGCGCUCGACGGUGAGGGAUGAAAGCUGGGGGAGCAAACCGGAUUAGAUACCCGGGUAGUCCCAGCUGUAAACGAUGCAGACUCGGUGAUGAGUUGGCUUAUUGCUAACUCAGUGCCGCAGGGAAGCCGUUAAGUUUGCCGCCUGGGGAGUACGGUCGCAAGACUGAAACUUAAAGGAAUUGGCGGGGGAGCA